rnacentral:rRNA from 1 species
CCAAUAGCGUAUAUUAAAGUUGCUGCAGUUAAAAAGCUUGUAGUUGAAUUUCGGGACUGAUAUAUCGGUCGUGCCUCGGUACGUACUGGUAUCUUCAGUUUCUCCCUUCUGACGAACCUUGAUGUCAUUAAUUUGGUGUCUUGGGGAAUCAGGACUGUUACUUUGAAAAAAUUAGAGUGUUUAAAGCAGGCUCACACUUGAAUACAUUAGCAUAGAAUAA